UGGAGAGGUGUCCGAGUGGUUGAUGGUGACGCACUCGAAAUGCGUUUUGGCAGCAAUGUCAACGGGGGUUCAAAUCCCCCUCUCUCCGA
rnacentral:tRNA from 2 species